UACGGGGGGAGCAAGCGUUGUUCGGAUUUACUGGGCGUAAAGGGCGCGUAGGCGGCCAGCACAAGUCAGUUGUGAAAUCUCCGAGCUUAACUCGGAAAGGUCAACUGAUACUGUGCGGCUAGAGUGCGGAAGGGGCAACUGGAAUUCUUGGUGUAGCGGUGAGAUGCGUAGAUAUCAGGAGGAACACCGAUAGCGAAGGCAGCUCGCUGGGACGGUACUGACGCUGAGGCGCGAAAGCGUGGGGAGCGAACAGG
rnacentral:rRNA from 1 species